UACAGAGGUCUCAAGCGUUGUUCGGAUUCAUUGGGCGUAAAGGGUGCGUAGGUGGCGGGGCCAGUCAGGUGUGAAAUCCCGGGGCUUAACCCUGGAACUGCAUUUGAUACUGCCUUGCUGGAGAACUGGAGAGGAGACUGGAAUUUACGGUGUAGCAGUGAAAUGCGUAGAGAUCGUAAGGAAGACCAGUGGCGAAGGCGAGUCUCUGGACAGUUACUGACACUGAGGCACGAAGGCCAGGGGAGCAAACGGG
rnacentral:rRNA from 2 species